rnacentral:tRNA from 1 species
UGUUCUGUGGUGUAGUUUGUUAACGUGCCCUGUCUAGCGAAUUGGACAUUCGUGGGUUCAAAUCCCACUAGAACAA